UCCCUGGGGGACUAGUGGUUAGAACUCGGCGCUCUCACCCCUGUAGCCUGGGUUCGAUUCCCGGCCACGGAA